rnacentral:rRNA from 1 species
UACCCGCAGUCCGAGUGGUAGUCGAUUUUAUUGGGCCUAAAGCGUCCGUAGCCGGUCUGGUAAAUGCCUGGGUAAAUCGUCUGGCUUAACCAAACGAAUUCCGGGUAGACUACCAGACUUGGGACCGGUUGAGGGAGAGGGUACUUCAGGGGUAGGAGUGAAAUCUUGUAAUCCCUGAAGGACCACCAGUGGCGAAGGCGCUCUCCUAGAACGGGUCCGACGGUGAGGGACGAAAGCCAGGGGAGCAAACCGGAUUAGAUACCCGGGUAGUCCUGGCCGUAAACGAUGCGGGCUUUGCAUUGGGGGUCCUACGUGGGCGCCCAGUGCCGUAGCGAAGGCGUUAAGCCCGCCGCCUGGGAAGUAUGGUCGCAAGGCUGAAACUUAAGGAAUUGGCGGGGGAGCACCGCAAUGGGAGGAGCGUGCGGUUU